CCUACGGGAGGCAGCAGUGAGGAAUAUUGGUCAAUGGGCGCGAGCCUGAACCAGCCAAGUCGCGUGAGGGAAGACGGUCCUAUGGAUUGUAAACCUCUUUUGUCGGGGAGCAAAAGACGCCACGCGUGGCGUUCCGAGAGUACCCGAAGAAAAAGCAUCGGCUAACUCCGUGCCAGCAGCCGCGGUAAUACGGAGGAUGCGAGCGUUAUCCGGAUGUAUUGGGUUUUAAGGGUGCGCAGUCUGAAGAUCAAGGCAGCGGUAAAAUUGAGAGGCUCAACCUCUUCGAGCCGUUGAAACUGGUUGUCGUGAGUGAGUGAGAAGUAUGCGGAAUGCGUGGUGUAGCGGUGAAAUGCAUAGAUAUCACGAAGAACUCCGGUUGCGAAGGCAGCAUACCGGCGAUCAACUGACGCUCAUGCACGAAAGUGUGGGUAUCGAACAGGAUUAGAUACCCCAGUAGUC
rnacentral:rRNA from 1 species